rnacentral:rRNA from 1 species
AACGUAGGUUCCGAGCGUUAUCCGGAUUUACUGGGCGUAAAGCGCGUUCAGGCGGUUUGGCAAGUCGGGCAUGAAAUCUCUCGGCUCAACCGGGAGAGGUUGUCCGAUACUGCUGGACUUGAGGGCAGUAGAGGGUGGUGGAAUUCCGGGUGUAGUGGUGGAAAUGCGUAGAGAUCCGGAAGGAACACCAGAGGCGAAGGC